GGAUAGCAAUAUCCUGGCACACGGCUCCGUAACACGUAGUGAAUCCACCCCGCGGACGCCAAUAACCCCGGGAAACUGGGGACAAUGGGCGAUAUUCGGGCUGCCCUGGAACCGGGCGCCCGUACAGAGGUCCGCCGCCACGGGACGACACUGCGGCCGAUUACGUUAGUUGGUGAGGUCACGGCCCACCAAGGCUUUGAUCGGUAGCCGGCUUGAGAGAGCGAGCGGCGAGAAUUGGACUGAGACACGGCCAAUAGCCUUACGAGGUGCAGCAGGCGAGAGAACUCCACAAUGCGCGACAGCGUGAUGGGGCCAGUCGAAGUGCUGGGAAUAAUAGUUCCAGCUGUUACCGGAUGCACAAAGUCCGGUGAGAAAGGCGAGGGCAAGGCUGGUGCCAGCAGCCGCGGUAAAACCAACUCGUCAAGUGUUCAAGGCUUAUAUUGAGCUUAAAGCACUCGUAGCGGGCCUUGCAAGUCCCUGGUCAAAUCCAAACGCUCAACGUUUGGCUUGCUAGGGAUACUACAAGGCUUGGGAGCGGGAGACGCAAACUGUACACUCGGGGUACCGGUGAAAUGGGAUAAUCCCGAGCAGACAACCGGUGGCGAAGGCGGUUUGCGAGAACGCGUCCGACCGUGAUGGGUGAAAGCCUGGGGAGCAAACCGGAUUAGAUACCCGGGUAGUCCAGGCCGUAAACGAUGUCCUUUAGGUGUGACGGCUGCUACGAGCCGCCGUUGUGCCGAAGCGAAAGCGUUAAAAGGACCGCUUGGGGAGUACGGUCGCAAGACUGAAACUUAAAGGAAUUGACGGGGGAAUACCACAAGGGGUGAAGCCUGCGGUUUAAUUGGACUCAACGCCGGGAAACUUACCAGGGGCGAUAGCUGUAUGAGGGACAGGCUGACGACCUUUCCUGACUGGCUAAGAGGUGGUGCAUGGCCGUCGCCAGUUCGUGCCGUGAGGUGUCUUGUUAAGUCAAGUAACGAACGAAACCCGCGUUGCUAAUUGCAACCGAAAACGUUAUGACGUUCCGGGCACAUUAGCGAGACCGCCGCUGCUAAAGCGUAGGAAGGUGCGGGCCACGGCAGGUCAGUAUGCCCCAAAUCCACCUGGGCCACACGCGGGCUGCAAAGGCAGGGACAAUGCGUCGCCACGCCGAGAGGCGGAGCUAAUCGCCAAACCCUGUCUCAGUUGGAAUCGCGGGCUGUAACCCGCCCGCGUGAACUUGGAAUCCCUAGUAUCCGUGUGUCAACAUCGCACGGAGAAUGUGUCUCUAUUCCUUGCACACACCGCCCGUCGCUUCAUGGGAGUGGUUCUUGUACGAGAUGUGUUCUUUAGGGCACAUCAAGCAUUAGGAUUGCAACUGGGAAGAAGUCGUAACAAGGU
rnacentral:rRNA from 1 species